rnacentral:rRNA from 1 species
GAUGAACGCUGGCGGUGUGCCUAAUACAUGCAAGUCGAGCGAACAGACGAGGAGCUUGCUCCUCUGACGUUAGCGGCGGACGGGUGAGUAACACGUGGAUAACCUACCUAUAAGACUGGGAUAACUUCGGGAAACCGGAGCUAAUACCGGAUAAUAUAUUGAACCGCAUGGUUCAAUAGUGAAAGACGGUUUUGCUGUCACUUAUAGAUGGAUCCGCGCCGCAUUAGCUAGUUGGUAAGGUAACGGCUUACCAAGGCAACGAUGCGUAGCCGACCUGAGAGGGUGAUCGGCCACACUGGAACUGAGACACGGUCCAGACUCCUACGGGAGGCAGCAGUAGGGAAUCUUCCGCAAUGGGCGAAAGCCUGACGGAGCAACGCCGCGUGAGUGAUGAAGGUCUUCGGAUCAUAAAACUCUGUUAUUAGGGAAGAACAAAUGUGUAAGUAACUAUGCACGUCUUGACGGUACCUAAUCAGAAAGCCACGGCUAACUACGUG